AGAGUUUGAUCAUGGCUACGAGGACGUAACGCUGGCGGCGUGCUUAACACAUGCAAGUCGAACGUGACCCAGGGCUUGCCCUGGUGAUCAGUGGCGAACGGGUGAGUAACACGUGGGCAACCUGCCCCUGACUUCGGGAUAACUCCUCGAAAGAGGAGCUAAUACCGGAUACGACCACUUCGGACAUCCGAUGGUGGUGGAAAGUUUUUCGGUCAGGGGUGGGCCCGCGGCCUAUCAGCUAGUUGGUGGGGUAAUGGCCUACCAAGGCGACGACGGGUAGCCGGCCUGAGAGGGCGACCGGCCACACUGGGACUGAGACACGGCCCAGACUCCUACGGGAGGCAGCAGUGGGGAAUAUUGCGCAAUGGCGAAAGCCUGACGCAGCGACGCCGCGUGAGGGAUGAAGGCCUUCGGGUUGUAAACCUCUUUCAGCAGGGACGAAGCGAAAGUGACGGUACCUGCAGAAGAAGCACCGGCUAACUACGUG
rnacentral:rRNA from 1 species